GAUGAAGAACGUAGCGAAAUGCGAUAAGUAGUGUGAAUUGCAGAAGUACCGUGAAUCAUCGAAUCUUUGAACGCAAAUUGCACUCUCUGGUAUUCCGGGGAGUAUGCCUGUUUGAGGGUCGCUUAACAAACCAUCGAUUUCGUUGCUUUUUUUUUUAAAAAAGUGAUGUUUAUCGGAUUUGAGCCGUCUUUUUUUUUUAUAUUUAAGUGGCUUAAAAUUGAUUUUUUUGGUACGAUCGAAGCGUAUUUUUAUGAUCAAUUUUUGGUUAAAGAAACGCACACGUACCGUUAUUUAUAUGAUGUAAUACGUUUGACUAUUGGAUUUAGUUCAUUCGUAUACGAUAUUUUUCAAUAUUUGACCUCAAAUCAGGUAAGAACACCCGCUGAACUUAAGCAUAUCAAUAACGGAGGA
rnacentral:misc_RNA from 1 species